rnacentral:rRNA from 1 species
UACGUAGGGGGCAAGCGUUGUCCGGAAUCAUUGGGCGUAAAGAGCGUGUAGGCGGCCCGGUAAGUCCGCUGUGAAAGUCCAGGGCUCAACCCUGGGAUGCCGGUGGAUACUGUCGGGCUCGAGUCCGGGAAGAGGAGUGUGGAAUUCCUGGUGUAGCGGUGAAAUGCGCAGAUAUCAGGAGGAACACCAAUGGCGAAGGCAGCACUCUGGGACGUGACUGACGCUGAGACGCGAAAGCGUGGGGAGCAAACAGG